UGCCUUCAACAAGGUCCUGGCAGCUUCCCUGCCAGGAAUAAGCUACAUGGUCAGGAAAUGGAGCUUCUGGUGUGGUUUAUUGCUGGAGGGCAUGUUGUAUGUGUCCCUCUGCAUGGACAAACACUGGCAGGCACAGAAAUUUGCUGCAGAGAAGAGUUGUGCUUUGGUUGCUACCUCUUCCAAGUCACCCUUCUGCCCCAGCAACAGCCACUGUGUCACAGGGGGUGCAGGUGGGAAUGUUGUUCCAGUGCUGGCACUGAUUUAGGCAUGAUAGAAAGGAAACAAUCUCAGAGCCCACAGACAUCCUCAGCCUGGAAGAGCCUGGAACAGCGAGAAGGGAGGUGGAUGUAGAGAGGCUUUGCCUGCACAGGCCCUACCAAGGAAGCCACAGCAAGCACUCUGCUCCUCAAGAGCUUCUCCACCCAGAUCCCUCCCUCAGAACCUCUGGCAGGUGAUCCAGGGCAGUCAGCACCCAUCUCAGUGAGGACAGCAAGGCAGUGCCACGAGAGACUAAUCCAACCAAGCAACAAGCAUGAGGCGAAAUUUAAGAGAAUUUGCCUGGGUGUUCCAGGAGGCAUCUGAGCUCCGGCAGGAUCUGUGUCCAGAGAGGAUGGAGAACAGCAGGCUGGAUCCAAAAUAAUUUAAAAACAGGGCUGAGGUGCAGCAGCCUACAAACAGUGCUCUCAGGAGUGAAGAAUUUCUCCUGUUCUGGAAUGGAAAGACAUCAGGGUCCUCCAAGGACAAGUCCUCUUCCAAGAACACUCUCCUGAAUGUAUCAGAUUUGUUUUGGUUUCUAGAAGGAUGUUGGAAGUUAUGAAGGUGAACAACUACAAUCAACAAGCAGCCUCUCAGCCAGCCAGUGUAAAUGCUCCAAGUCCUUAUGGAGGGCUCAGGAGCACUGAACUUGGAAGAGGCUGGAGGGACUCCAGUGUGCCACAGGCCCAUGCCAGAUCCAGAACACCUUCCAUUGUAAUCACAGUUUUGAAGAAGUGACAGUAAAGGCAGAAGUCAGCCCUUCACUGAGAAAAAUGCCUGAUGUUGUAAGAACAGGACCUCCCCUGGAUGAACAUCUCCCCUCCAAAGCAGGGGAGAGGGAUGGGCAGCUCUGGGAACCUGGAAGUUCAAGACUUCUACACCUUGAAGGAAUGAGUAUGUCCUUUACCUUCCUUGGUGACCAGUUAGCAGGGGAGCAACAAGAACUGCUACAAGAAUGACAUGCUUGGGAUAGACAACCUCAGGAAUCAGCAGCAGCACCUGCAGCUCGGUCCCGCACCCGAAGAGAUGCACAUAGUCAGCUUCCCAAAGAAAUCCCUCCAUGGAGCAACUCCCAGCAUGUAUCACCACAGCAAGGUUUCUCCCCAAAGCAUGAGUAGAGAGGGAUGUGGCCAAACCCGAGGGAAUGAUGUGUUUUCCACAGCAUCACCUCCUGCUCUGCUGCCACCGACCCAGCUCGCGCCGCACUCACCGAGCACGGAGCUGCUGUAGAAAUCCCAGGCUGUCCGAGGGUCUCCGUCACUGCGGCCCUGCAGAUCUGACAGGUAAUCUAGACAGAGAAAAGCCAGAUAGUUAAUGGCUUGAAGCAUCAUCUUGCUGUACAUAACCACAGAUCUGGGGAGAGCUGCUUCACCCCUGCUGCUUUUCCCACUUGGGCAUUAUGGCAAAAGCUGUACCACAGCUGCAGGAAGGGUGUCGCUGCUCAGGAGUGGGCAUCACCCCAGGCCCCCAACAGAAAAUGGGAGCUGAAAAGGGAAAAAAACCACACAGUGUGAAGUGGCUUGUAAAAGAAAGAUUUGUAGAACAGUCCUGAGCUCCAAACCACCAUCCCCAAAACCUGUGUGAGGAGUUGACCCUAGAGGAGCUCACACAGCAGUGGGAAAAGAGUUUUUUUUCAACACUGGGGAUUUUCUGUCUUGUCUCUGUCUGGGAGCCACCUCUGGCUGUCCCUUCCUUGCUGUUGUGGAGAAGCCACAACACUCAUCUUGGCAUGUGCACAAAUCUCCUUGCACACUGAAAACUGAAAAGUGACUUUUAUCUUAUACAGGAAACACAUACAAUUUCUAUAAUUAAAGUUUGGGUUCUAAAAACACGCUUGUGUGACAGGACAGAACUAAAGACUAAGACAUUUUCUGCUCAGGCCCUUUCACACCCAGAUUUGGCCCUGUAUGCUGCCAGAGGGGAAGGUCUGGAACACUGUGACCCCAGGCCUGGCACCUACCACAGAGGAAGCGCUUCAUCACAUCGCUGGUGGCCAACUUCACUGCUGUCUGCCCAGAGUAUGUGGCCAGAGUGGGAUCAGCACCAUAGGAAAGGAGAAGCCACAUGGU